rnacentral:rRNA from 1 species
CCUACGGGCGGCAGCAGUGAGGAAUAUUGGUCAAUGGGCGGAAGCCUGAACCAGCCAAGUAGCGUGCAGGAUGACGGCCCUACGGGUUGUAAACUGCUGUUAUACGGGAAUAACGCGCCGUACGUGUAGGGCUUUGCAUGUACCGUAUGAAUAAGGACCGGCUAAUUCCGUGCCAGCAGCCGCGGUAAUACGGAAGGUCCGGGCGUUAUCCGGAUUUAUUGGGUUUAAAGGGAGCGUAGGCCGCAUGUCAAGCGUGCUGGGAAAUGUCCGGGCUCCCCCCGGGCCUUGCAGCGCGAACUGGCGUGCUUGAGUCCGCGGCAAGCAGGCGGCAUUCGUCGUGUAGCGGU